CCUCCCUCCCUCCCUCCCUCCUUGAAUGGUGGCGGUGGUGGUUGGCCAGCCCAAGUUCCCGCCCCCGGACCGGACCGGGAGGGGCCCCUCCCGUGUUUCGGCCUGUGGCUGGUGGGGACUUGGUGAUGGCGCAAUGCAUCAACACUUUCAAAGAUGACUGAGUAUAAGAGACCGGGGCACAUGCGCCCUUCCCUUGGGUUUAGGGUAUGUGUGGAGUUGUGUGAUAAACAAAACAACUCUCAGCAACGGAUAUCUUGGCUCCUGCAACGAUGAAGAACGCAGCGAAAUGCGAUACGUAGUGUGAAUUGCAGAAUUCCGCGAAUCAUCGAGUCUUUGAACGCAAGUUGCGCCCGAGGCUUGCCCGAGGGCAUUUCUGUUAGAGCGUCACCGCGACACCCACCGACCACUCCCUUGGGGGUUGAGUGAAAGUGGCCGUCCCGGCGGAUGGAUGGAUGGGGGGCUUGGAUCAAGCCGCCGCCUCCAAUGGCCGGGUUGGCUGAAAUGGAGGGAAUUUGGCCGCCGCGGUGUGACACAGCCGGCGAUCGGGUGAUCCAAGUCUUUCUUGGAAUCUCAAUGUGCGUCGGCCGUGUCCCCCAGUUGGUACCGAGGAUUCCAAAGCAGGUCCUCCGGAAGUGGGGGUGGUGGAAGACGGAAGGAAAUCGUCACGCAUCAGA
rnacentral:sRNA from 1 species